rnacentral:rRNA from 1 species
UACGUAGGGUGCGAGCGUUGUCCGGAAUUAUUGGGCGUAAAGAGCUUGUAGGCGGUUUGUCGCGUCUGCUGUGAAAAUCCGGGGCUCAACCCCGGACUUGCAGUGGGUACGGGCAGACUAGAGUGUGGUAGGGGAGACUGGAAUUCCUGGUGUAGCGGUGAAAUGCGCAGAUAUCAGGAGGAACACCGGUGGCGAAGGCGGGUCUCUGGGCCGAUACUGACGCUGAGGAGCGAAAGCGUGGGGGGCGAACAGG